GGAUUAGAUACCCUGGUAGUCCACGCCGUAAACGAUGGUUACUAGCUGUUUGGACUUUAUGUCUGAGUGGCUAAGCGAAAGUGAUAAGUAACCCACCUGGGGAGUACGUUCGCAAGAAUGAAACUCAAAGGAAUUGACGGGGGCCCGCACAAGCGGUGGAGCAUGUGGUUUAAUUCGAUGAUACGCGAGGAACCUUACCAGGGCUUAAAUGUACGUUGCAUUAGUUAGAGAUAGCUAUUUCUUCGGACUACGUACAAGGUGCUGCAUGGUUGUCGUCAGCUCGUGCCG
rnacentral:rRNA from 1 species